rnacentral:lncRNA from 1 species
AUGGAUAAUAUGGAUAAUAUGGAUAAUAUGGAUAAUAUGGAUAAUAUGGAUAAUAUGGUUGAUAAUAAAAUGUAUGAUAACCAUACAGAUCAUAAACAAAUAAAUGAAAAUAAUAAACCUGAUAAAAAUGUUGCGGAGAGUAACACAGGAAGUGAUCAACUAGAAUCAAUCAACUUUUUUAAAAAAAUAAAACAAGGAUUUUAUAUCGAAAGAAAUGAUUACAUAAAUGAUUCAGUGAAACAGAUAGUAAAAGAGUACAUGAAUAAAAAUGAUAAUAAUAAAAAAGGUAUUGAAGAGAGUAGCAUAAAAUAUGAAGAUACAAAUUAUACUAACACUGAUUCAAAGAACAGAGAAUAUUCCCAAAAUUAUGAAAAAAAAUUUACUAAUUAUAUAACUAAUAAAAUAAAAAAUGAUAAUAAUAAUAAUAUUAUGGUAAAUAAAUUAAUAAAAACAAAUUUUAUAAAAAUGUUUACUUUUGAUGAUGAAAUAAAAAUAAUAAAUAAUAAAAUAAAGAAAAGUACAAAUUUAAGUGAAAUUUUAGAUGUAUUUAAAAAUCACAAAAGAAUAAAUAUAAUUAAUAUUAUGUAUUGUUUUAUAUAUAUAAACAGAUUAAAAAAAAUAAAUAUGAAUGAUUAUAUAUACGAUAGAAGGUUUAUAUAUAUUACAGACUCGCUAGAAUAUCUGUUAAAAUAUUAUCUUUAUGCUCUUAACAACCAGAUGAUUAAUACAAACAUGCUUAAAAAGGGAUUAAAAAAUAAUUUUUUUAAUUUAUUUAUUAAUAAUAUGAAACGAUUGAACAAUACUAUACAAAGAAACACACGCGGUAACGCAACCGACAAUACACCCGGUAACGCAACCGACAAUACACCCGGUAACGCAACCGACAAUACAACCAACAACGUAACCAGUAACAACCGAAUAGUCAUACUGAAUGAUUGGAAGCUAAUUUUGUUAAUAAAAUAUAUGAAUAAAUUAAAAUUAUUUCAUGUAAAUUUAAAUAUAUAUAAUUUACUGUUUUUAUUAAUAUCUAAAACUUUUGAGUUGUUUAGUCUCGACUUAUUAAUAAUUUUAUUAACAUAUAUAAAUGAAUAUACAUAUUUCAAUAAUAAGAUUCAUAAAAAAAUUAAUAUAUGCAUAUUAAAUCAUUUUUUUUAA